CGAGGUUAUAUAAGUGCCGAAGAUUAGAGGUGUGCAAGAAAGUAAUGAUAAAAAAAGACUCAUAAGAAGAGAUAAGGACGGUGCAUGCUCAAUAGGGAAGAAGGAGCAAAUCCCACCAGAGCUGCCGCCAACCACUCACUCAUAACAUGUGAACCACGAAAAAUCAAAGAGAACAGAUAGAUAAAAGAAGUACAUACCCACACACGACGUGGUCCAUGAGCACUAGCACAUUAAAGAAGACAGCAGAAGUUUGAUGGGUAGGUGUAAAAGUACGCUCAAGGCCUACUACUUCUGUCUCUCAAUAUUACUUUAACCCUGCUUGCUUGUUCCUGUCGAAAAAUAACCGGCACUGACUGACUCGUCGCAAAGAACAGCCCAACAACUCAAACGACCACGGCCACAGAUGAAGGGAGUGACCAAAUAUUGUCAGCAGAUGGAUGGAGGGUGUCACAGACGGAUCCUACUUCUUUACUUUUCCUCUGCUGAACCCCGCUUGCUUAUUACAAUUUAAUACUUUAAUGGCGGUUGUCGCUUCUCCUUAUUAACUCACUAGAAUCAAGCAAGUAACCUUAAAA